rnacentral:rRNA from 1 species
GGAAUAUUGGACAAUGGGCGAAAGCCUGAUCCAGCCAUGCCGCGUGUGUGAAGAAGGUCUUCGGAUUGUAAAGCACUUUAAGUUGGGAGGAAGGGCAGUAAGCGACUACCUUGCUGUUUUGACGUUACCGACAGAAUAAGCACCGGCUACCUCUGUGCCAGCAGCCGCGGUAAUACAGAGGGUGCUAGCGUUAAUCGGGAUUACUGGGCGUAAAGCGAGUGUAGGUGGCUAUGUAAGUCGGAUGUGAAAUCCCCGGGCUCAACCUGGGAACUGCAUUCGAUACUGCAUGGCUAGAGUCUGAUAGAGGGAAGUGGAAUUCCAGGUGUAGCGGUGAAAUGCGUAGAUAUCUGGAAGAACACCAGUGGCGAAGGCGGCUUCCUGGAUCAAGACUGACACUGAGGCUCGAAAGCGUGGGGAGCAAAC